rnacentral:lncRNA from 1 species
UUUCACGUUGUGACGUGAAUAUCACGCGGCAAGAGACAAUUUUGUAUAGUGAUUUUUCACCUUGUCUCAAAAUGGAAGCCAUAAUGAAACGAGGAUGAAGCCGAAGUGAGAACAAUAAUCUUUUUCCCAUGAUUUAGGUCUUUCACACAAGUAUGUCGCUUUCACAUUAAUUUCUUCCUCCUUAUUUUUGGUUAAGAUUCUUGACAUUGGAUUUAUGAAGUACCAAAGCAUACAUCAGAUGCGAUACUAACAUGUCGAAAUUGUGUUUGACAACAAAUGUGUUUACUUUGACAAACAUAGAAGUGUGUGAUUCAAGAACUAUAAGUACAAAAAGGAGGUAUUUAUGUUAAAAUGGGUUGAAUAAUCUCUAUUGUAUUUACCCUAUUGAAAUAUAUAUGGGGUCAAAAACCCAUGCAAAUGGAUUCAUUAAUAACCCCCACAACAAAGCACAUUUUUUUUAGUGAACUAACAUUCCUUCUCCUAACUGAACUUUGGCUAAACCUUAGUUUUCUCUGUGGACUAUUCUUGUUUUCACCCUGUAAAAACGUAAUAAAGCACAAAAAAUAGGAUAAAAAAUUAUUCCACAUUACAAAAAAUAAAAUAAAAAAUUCAUUGAUCAAUUAAUUUGUCUCUCACACAAAUUAAACGUCUAAUCAUAUGCAGCAGCAACAAUUUCGUUAAAUCUAAGACAAAAAUUGCAUUAAAAUUUAAGAUGUUGCUUGCUUAUGAAACUACACACAAUGAGAUUCAAAUCCUAAUUUAAAAUAUUUCAAAGAGAAUCAAACUCACAAAGGAUGGAGUCGCAUUGAAAAUCAUUGACAUUGGAAUAGGAGCCUUCAAUCAAAAUGUUGUCAACAUUUGGUAACUCUAAAAUAGAAUUCCCUCUUCUUGUAGUAAAGAGCAUGAGCCAAUUUUGUCAUUGCUCAAAUUUAACAAACUUUUCCACCACAUAGCACAAUCUCCAUCACCAUUAAUUUGUUGCAUGGUACUAUCUAUGUUACUAUCUUUAGCAACACUAGCAUCUUUAGUUGAAACCGUCACUAUUGGUUUCACAAAACUAUGUUUCUCAUUCAACAGAAGUGAAUGAGAUGAAAAAGUUCGAGGAUGAGGUUUAAUAACUUGAUGAGUUUUCAUGGUUUCCUUAAGUUUCUCUUUUUCUUUCAUUUCAUCUGAGUUUUUUGAAAUCAUUUUCUUGCGCAGGUGGGUGUGCCAAUAAUUCUUAACAUCAUUAGCUGUUCUGCCAGGAAGUCUUGCUGCAAUUAAUGACCAUCUAAGAAAAGAAGAAUACAAAAAUACAUCAAUACUAUGCAUUCUGUAUUUAUACUAUGAAUAUUGUUUUUAUUUUUAUUUGGAAAGUAA